AAGCUCAAGAUCAAGACAACUGAAACAUAAUCAGUCUUGGCCUCGACUGAAAGAUCUGGUCUGAGUGGAAGAUAUCGGAGGAUGGAAUGCAAUAGUUGGACAAAAGCAGGCUCACUAGAUGUAGAGGGUCUGGACUGGAGUUGAGUCCUAAUGGCAUCUAGCUGGGACAAGACCUCCCUCAAGGAAACACGAAGCCCCUCA
rnacentral:lncRNA from 1 species